rnacentral:rRNA from 1 species
GAUCAUAGCUCAGGAUGAACGCUAGCGGGAGGCCUAACACAUGCAAGCCGAGCGGUAUUGUUUCUUCGGAAAUGAGAGAGCGGCGUACGGGUGCGGAACACGUGUGCAACCUGCCUUUAUCUGGGGGAUAGCCUUUCGAAAGGAAGAUUAAUACUCCAUAACAUAUUGAACGGCAUCGUUUGAUAUUGAAAGCUCCGGCGGAUAUAGAUGGGCACGCGCAAGAUUAGCUAGUUGGUGGGGUAAAGGCCCACCAAGGCGACGAUCUGUAGCUGGUCUGAGAGGACGAUCAGCCACACUGGGACUGAGACACGGCCCAGACUCCUACGGGAGGCAGCAGUGGGGAAUAUUGCACAAUGGGCGCAAGCCUGAUGCAGCAACGCCGCGUGAGGGACGACGGCCUUCGGGUUGUAAACCUCUUUUAGUAGGGAAGAAGCGAAAGUGACGGUACCUGCAGAAAAAGCACCGGCUAACUACGUG